UGUUUUCUCGUAAAUGAUAAACAAAUAAUGUGAAAUGUAAAUAUAUAUGUAUUUAUAUAUAUUCGCAAAACUCUGUGAUAAUGACCUCCUUGCGCCCCCUCAUCACCUCUUCCUAACCUGACCAGCGGCUGCUGCUGCUGUUGUUUGCAUUGCAAGGUGAGUGGGGCAUCAUGGGUAGCGCAUCUCAGACGUUUUAUUGGAGACAAAUGGUCGUCGUUGUGGUUCUAUUGACACUGUCAACAAUUUUUUAUUAUGAAAAGGUAUGCCAAGCCGUCAGGUGCUGCUUUCAGAAAGCGCAAAAAAGAAGAGGAGGAAAACGGGCCCAAAGUAGAGAUGCACUGAGAAAAUAUUUGCAGCCACGACAGGCACCUGUAGAUGCUGCUACAGAGGAAGCCUCCGUCUCUCUGUCUUCUGCACCUGAGCAGCUGCUCGUCAAGCAGCAGCACAGCAGCAAGUGAGACACAGCUUCAAAAUGUAGAUCCAGCAGCUUCAAGUCAAACAGAAAGCAGCAACACAGCAGCAACUGAGACACAGCUUCAAGAUGUAAAUCCAGAAGAAGGACCCAGCACCACCAGCAGACUACAUGUUUCAGUCCACCAGCCUGAAGACACAUCAUCAACAUCAACAGGUGCAUGUGAGUCUGUCACAGCAGCCCCCAUUGAUCCAGCUGAUUGGCCCCCUCACCUGUCUAAUCCAGAGAGGACCAAGUUAGUCAGUCAAUGGCCUGAUGUGAUAAAAUCAGACUUCACAUUCCCAAAAAAACAAGAUGGAAGACGUUGCCAUCACCACUACUUUUAUAAACGGUUAGUGAAUGGGGAGAAAAUCAAAAGAAUGUGGCUGACGUAUUCCAAAAAGAAUGAUAGCUUGUGCUGUUUCUGUUGCAAGCUCUUCUCCCAGAAAACAUUUAAACUAAGCAGUGAUGGUGUUAAUGACUGGAAAAACUGCAGUGACAUACUGAAAACACAUGAGAACAGUCCUGAACAUACAAAGAACAAGGGAUUAUGGAAAGAACUGGAGUCUCAGAUUAAAAAGGGCCAAACAAUAGACA